AGAGGUAUAAAAAAAUAAAAAAAAACCUCCAGUCGACCAAAUUAUCAACCCUUACCCACGCUUCUCUAUUCCUCACUCUCAUCUCACGUUUCUCUCUCUUCCUCACUCUCACCUCACAUUUUGGUGCUCUCUCUCUUGUAGAUCUCACGAAAUCAGGUCAGACGUGUCUUGUGUUCUGCAAGACCUGUAGCAAUUCAAACAUCUGUUAAUCCCACUACAUCAGAUCAGGAUCCGCUUUGUAUUGGCUGACAUGCUCAGCUAUGGCAGCUUGCUCAUAGGACAACUGCUCUUCCACUUGGGCGUGGAGCAUUUACUCUGGCAACCUCGUGCACCCUUUUAACAGAGGCACUCAUCGUACCAAAGCUUGUUUUGGCUGGAAGGUUGCCUGCUCAGCAGAAUGCCACUGUACGCUGUGACAUGUAUUUAAUUUUAUAUUUUUUUAUCGCCAAACUCAAGCUUUGUUUCUAUUAAUAUUUUUGAAGAACAUGGGGAUAGUAUGCUAAAUAGUACAUCACCUUUUAGAUGUUUAUGCUGUAUGAAUUUUCCUAAGAAAAUGUUGAUUAGCUGUUAUCUUUGCUUGUUGAGUGUCAACAGAUGUGUCAUUGUCUCAUUUAUGCUAUCUUGAAGUUACUUUUCAUGUCUCUUUUGGGCUGUUCUUUGAGCUUAUGGAAACGAUCUCUUUUGAAGCACAUGAUAAGUAAGAGCUGAAGUUUUCUUUGAUAUGUCUGUGGUGAUGAAAUGUCUUAACAUUUCUCAUCUAGGAAGACCUAGUGAAUAGCUGCAUAUUGAUUAAUUUCAUAGCUACUCUACUCUCCAGCAGAUAGCAAAGUACAUUAUUGCUAUACGAGGGACACUAAUGUUUGCUUUAGUCUAUGAUGUGUCACAUUUCAGUUUCUCUUAGUUUUGUAGUUUUUGUCUUGUUGCUCUCUAUUUUGUACGGAGAGCGCAUCUGUUCUCAUUGAUGUACAAAUUUUAUGUUCAGGCGUGCUGGUGUCAUAUGGCUCAUUCAUCUGAGGCUGUACUGUGUAUACUACAAGUUGAUGCCUUGACAGAAGAUGACAAAAAGUUUAUGAGAUUUGUAUUAGAUUUUGUGGCUCAAAAUAUUUAGUUUUGUUCCAGAUUUUUGUUGUGGAGUUUAAAUUAGUGUACAUGUAAUUAUAUGAGAUUUGUAUUAGAUUUUGUUAUAAGUAUACUAGAUUUUAGUUCUAUAAUUAUUUUUUCACUUGUAUCUACAUUUAUUAUCAAUAAUAAUUGAAUUGAUUAA